AGAAUGUGGAAGAGCUCAAUGUUGGGAGCCUCUGGUUCUGAAGGGAAGCUUGGGAGGUGAAAUGACCCUUUGGCAGGUAUCAACAUGACAAGAGGGAGGCGAACCAAGGGAGUUACUAGUCAGUCCUACGAAGUCCAGUAGGUGAGACUUGGACUCAAAAUCAUGGUAUGGAAAGGAAUGAGGACCUCAAAGACCACACUUUUCAUCUCCCCGCAGCUGAAGAAAGCCAGAACAGAAAGAUGAUGCCAAACAGUAUGUUUCCAGGUCAGCAACAUGAGUUCCCAUCACAAUGUUUGUUUCUUCAAUCUGAAGGGAAUACUUUUCUCACUUCCGAAGAAAGAUUCCAUCCCUUGAGCAUCAGGGAAAAACUAUAACUUUGGAUGAAGGGUUGUGUCUGUUCAUAAAACA